AAAUUGAAGAGUUUGAUCAUGGCUCAGAUUGAACGCUGGCGGCAGGCCUAACACAUGCAAGUCGAGCGGUAGCACAGAGAGCUUGCUCUCGGGUGACGAGCGGCGGACGGGUGAGUAAUGUCUGGGAAACUGCCUGAUGGAGGGGGAUAACUACUGGAAACGGUAGCUAAUACCGCAUAACGUCGCAAGACCAAAGUGGGGGACCUUCGGGCCUCAUGCCAUCAGAUGUGCCCAGAUGGGAUUAGCUAGUAGGUGGGGUAACGGCUCACCUAGGCGACGAUCCCUAGCUGGUCUGAGAGGAUGACCAGCCACACUGGAACUGAGACACGGUCCAGACUCCUACGGGAGGCAGCAGUGGGGAAUAUUGCACAAUGGGCGCAAGCCUGAUGCAGCCAUGCCGCGUGUGUGAAGAAGGCCUUCGGGUUGUAAAGCACUUUCAGCGGGGAGGAAGGCGGUGAGGUUAAUAACCUCAUCGAUUGACGUUACCCGCAGAAGAAGCACCGGCUAACUCCGUGCCAGCAGCCGCGGUAAUACGGAGGGUGCAAGCGUUAAUCGGAAUUACUGGGCGUAAAGCGCACGCAGGCGGUCUGUCAAGUCGGAUGUGAAAUCCCCGGGCUUAACCUGGGAACUGCAUUCGAAACUGGCAGGCUAGAGUCUUGUAGAGGGGGGUAGAAUUCCAGGUGUAGCGGUGAAAUGCGUAGAGAUCUGGAGGAAUACCGGUGGCGAAGGCGGCCCCCUGGACAAAGACUGACGCUCAGGUGCGAAAGCGUGGGAGCAAACAGGAUUAGAUACCCUGGUAGUCCACGCCGUAAACGAUGUCGAUUUGGAGGUUGUGCCCUUGAGGCGUGGCUUCCGGAGCUAACGCGUUAAAUCGACCGCCUGGGGAGUACGGCCGCAAGGUUAAAACUCAAAUGAAUUGACGGGGGCCCGCACAAGCGGUGGAGCAUGUGGUUUAAUUCGAUGCAACGCGAAGAACCUUACCUGGUCUUGACAUCCACAGAACUUUCCAGAGAUGGAUUGGUGCCUUCGGGAACUGUGAGACAGGUGCUGCAUGGCUGUCGUCAGCUCGUGUUGUGAAAUGUUGGGUUAAGUCCCGCAACGAGCGCAACCCUUAUCCUUUGUUGCCAGCGGUCCGGCCGGGAACUCAAAGGAGACUGCCAGUGAUAAACUGGAGGAAGGUGGGGAUGACGUCAAGUCAUCAUGGCCCUUACGACCAGGGCUACACACGUGCUACAAUGGCAUAUACAAAGAGAAGCGACCUCGCGAGAGCAAGCGGACCUCAUAAAGUAUGUCGUAGUCCGGAUUGGAGUCUGCAACUCGACUCCAUGAAGUCGGAAUCGCUAGUAAUCGUAGAUCAGAAUGCUACGGUGAAUACGUUCCCGGGCCUUGUACACACCGCCCGUCACACCAUGGGAGUGGGUUGCAAAAGAAGUAGGUAGCUUAACCUUCGGGAGGGCGCUUACCACUUUGUGAUUCAUGACUGGGGUGAAGUCGUAACAAGGUAACCGUAGGGGAACCUGCGGUUGGAUCACCUCCUUACCUUAAAGAA
rnacentral:rRNA from 1 species